AGGGAUUCUUGGUAUUUCAGGAAGCUCAACCAAGUUUAAGGACUUGAUCUGUAGCUCUCAAAACAGAGAAGAUGUCUUUAAAAGGUGCUAUUGAAAAGCUGUGCAGGUGGGAUAACCUUCAGAUGAGCUCUUGCAGAAGUGACCCCACUGCUGGUGCGAGGCCUUUGCCAAGGCUGCAGGUUUCCCUGGAGGACAAGACAGCAGUGAAAGAUCACAUCUCACCAAAUCCUUCUGUAGGACGAGGACUCAAAGUGUCACCGUGGAGAAUUAGCAAACCCCAUCAUCCAAAGCCUUUAUUCUCCCAAAAUCUGAAGUCUACUGCUGUGAAGAAAACUCUUAAGAUGCUGGAGUUUGGGAAGGGAGCACUUGCAGUCCUUGGACUGCACAGCUGCCUUUGCAAUAUUCCCAGGAGGGAAUGGUGCAGGAAAGAAGCAAAAAAAGUAAACAGGCAGGAGUCUGGAGCUCAAAGUCCAGAGGCAUCAACACAAAUUCACAUCCUACCCUGUUCCUAAAAGCUUCAGCGAGUUCUUUCCCUGUAUAAUAAGGAAUUUAUAAGUUCUUCCUCAAUUAGUAGCCCUGACAGUGAGAUUUUGGGUGCCCUUGAUGCUGUCACUUUGCUGCCUUGCAUGUCAGCUCCUCACCUGAAAAAGAAGAACAAUCCUACUCAUUUUCCCUUGCCCUGUUCAUCCCUCCAGACUCUCCAUCAGAGGCUCUGCUUCUCACUGGAACUUGCUGCUUGCCCAGCAUGGUAAGUGUUUGCAGUCCUAUCACAGGAUAUUAAUUAAUCAUACAAAUAAAUCAUGCCAAAGAAAUAUUAAUUAAUCA
rnacentral:lncRNA from 1 species